AUGGACGCUUCACACCAGAAAAGCAUUGUGAGGAUGAAGGGAGCAUUCUGCCCCAGCUGAACUUCUUUGAGGACACAUCUCCUGACUCUCCCUGUCUCCGAAAGCUCCUAAUACCAGAAGCAAGCUGGGUCUCUCUGAGCAUGCCAGCCUAUCCAAAGAAGAAACUCGGGAGCGUCCUACCUGUUUCUACCAGUCAGUCUAGCCUCUUCCUCGGGAAGUCUGCCCUGAUUGAAAUGCUGGAGAAAUUAGGAUUUUGUUGGAACCAGAAGACAAGAAGCCAGGACCACCGCCAGUGUUCCUAUUAGAAUUCUACCACAAUGCAUCAAAGUACAACCAAGAAGGUCACAAUAUCACCAAGCUGAGGAAGAACAAAGAAAUGCCGGCACUUCUCAAGGCAGAACAAACCAUCCAACAACCGCAGACCGUGAACGGCAGAACUGGUUUUCUCGGGGCUAAUUAGUCCUAGGUCUUUUAAUAACUACAGUCCUGGAGAGGCUUCUGAAGGCCUUUUGACUCAAGUAGCAAUCCGGAAACUGUAGUCUUCACAGAGCAGCCUCUUCAGGCAGAACAAGGGCUCUGGACUCUGUGUUUUCGAUGCUCUGAUUUGACUGAGUUUUCUUCU